AGAGUUUGAUCAUGGCUCAGAAUGAACGUUGGCGGCGUGGAUUAGGCAUGCAAGUCGAACGGGCCUGGUUUUCGGAUCAGGUCAGUGGCGCAAGGGUGAGUAAGGCGACGGCAACCAACCCCAUGGUUGGGCAUAGCCGCGGGAAACUGCGGGUAAUUCCCAGCGAUGUUCGCUCUGGGCAUCCGGAGUGAACCAAAGCUUCGGCGCCGUGGGACGGACCGUCGUGGUAUUAGGUUGUUGGCGGGGUAACGGCCCACCAAGCCUGUGAUGCCUACCGGGCGUGCGAGCGUGGCCCGGCACACUGGGACUGAGACACUGCCCAGACUCCUACGGGAGGCUGCAGUCGAGAAUCUUCGGCAAUGGGCGCAAGCCUGACCGAGCGACGCCGCGUGGAGGAUGAAGGCCUUCGGGUUGUAAACUCCUGUCGAGGGGGAGGAAGGCGCAAGCUUGACCGAUCCCUGGAGGAAGCACGGGCUAAGUUCGUGCCAGCAGCCGCGGUAAGACGAACCGUGCGAACGUUAUUCGGAAUCACUGGGCUUAAAGCGCGUGUAGGCGGAUGGGGACGUCGGUUGCUGAAAGCCCCCGGCUCAACCGGGGAACGGGCACCGAAACGCCCCGUCUGGAGGAACGUAGGGGGACCUGGAACUUCCGGUGGAGCGGUGAAAUGCGUUGAGAUCGGAAGGAACGCCCGUGGCGAAAGCGAGUCCUGGACGUUUACUGACGCUGAGACCCGAAGCUAGGGGAGCGAACGGGAUUAGAUACCCCGGUAGUCCUAGCUGUAACGAUGGGCACUGGGUAGGGGGCUCGUCGAUGGGCUCUCUUGCCGC
rnacentral:rRNA from 1 species